rnacentral:rRNA from 1 species
GACGAACGCUGGCGGCGUGCUUAACACAUGCAAGUCGAACGGUGAACCUGCUUCGGUGCGGGUUCAGUGUCGAACGGGGGCGUAACACUUGGGCAACCUUCCCUCAGCUCUGGGAUAAGUCCAAGAAAUGGGGGCUAAUGCUAGAUAUGACCGCUGUCCGCAUGGGCUGGGGGUAGUAGGAUGUGUCGGCUGGGGUUGGGCCCGCGGCCUAUCCGCUUGUGGGUUGGCUAGUGGCCUACCAAGGCGACGACGGGUGGCCGGCCUGGGAGCGGGACCGGCCACACUGGGCCUGAGAGACGGCGCAGACUGGUACGGGAGGCAGCAGUGGGGAGCAUUGCGCAGUGGCGGAACGCCUGUGGUAGCGAUGCCGCGUGGGGGAUGACGUCUUUCGGGUUGUAAACAUCUUUCAGAAGGGACGAAGCGAUAGUGACGGUACCUGCAGAAGAAGCCCCGGCUAACUACGUG